rnacentral:lncRNA from 1 species
GAUGCCCAAGUUUGUUAGAUAUGAAGCACUUUCCAUUGAACUUCUUGGAAUCUUUUUUAUUAUUAUUUCCAGAUGACUUCCAUUUUUUAUUGGUUUUCUCCACUUGUUCCACCACGUUAGCCUUGAAAACCAUGGAUUGACUUCCAAUUUUCUUUUCAGACAUUCUAUUGUCCUCUUCAAUCCUUUGCCUCACAAUUAAAUCUUCAAGCCUCAUUUCCUUAUGCUUAUGCUUUAAAUAAUUCUUAAAAUCCUUUUAAGAUGGUGGCAAUUUUUCAAUAGUUGAUGCCACUUGGAAUGAUUCACUAAGACUCAUAUUCUCAGCAUGAAUCUCAUGUAGAAUGAGUUGAAGCUCUUGAACUUAGCUUAUGACAGUUUUUGCAUCAAUCAUUUUGUAGUCUAAAAAUCUGCCAACUACAAAAUUUUUCAAACCAGCAUCUUCUGC